rnacentral:tRNA from 1 species
GCGUCGGUGGUUCAGUGGUAGAAUACUCGCCUGCCACGCGGUUGACCCGGGUUCGAUUCCCGGCCGACGCA